rnacentral:lncRNA from 1 species
CUCCCCACCCAAAGGGCUCUGGGUGAGCCACUAUCAGCUCAGAACAAAGAGUCCAAAAAUUUUCCUUCUUAUUUUCCAAAACUCAAAAGUUCUUGAGUUUCAAGGCCUUGGCUAUGUGUGAAUUCCUUAAAGGCGGCUGAAGUAACCGCUGAUUUUAAAAAAAUUUUUAUUUUUAUUUAUAUAUUUGUCUUUUUAGGGCUAUACCCAAAGCAUAUGGAAGUUCCCAGGCUAGGGGUCAAAUUGGAGCUGCAACCACCAGCCUACACCACAGCCACAGCAACACAGGAUCUGAGCCUCAUCUGUGACCUACACCACAACUCAUAGCAAUGCCGGAUCCUUACGCACUGAGUGAGGUCAGAGAUCAAACCCUGUAUCCUCAUGGGUCCUAGUUGUAUUCAUUACUAUGAGCCAAAAAAGGAGCUUGGAAGUGUCCUUUUCUGCGAGGAGCAAAUUCCUCCGCAGGACUCCUGAGCUUAAGAGGAAGGUGGAGAAUGUUCUUACUUGGGAGUUGAGUAGGGGUGGUCAGGCCCAGCCCAAACAGCUUGCUGGGGGCACCUCGAUUCCUGACGUGGAAGCUUGAGGCUGACCCACUUGGGUCAGACACGGUCACACCAUCCAUACCCCAGAACUCCUCCCGACUCCUGACGUGCUCUGGGUCUGGUGUGGCCCACAGUGGAUGCCUGCCUGACCGUCCCUGGAGUAGCCCCUCCUCUCCUAUGCUGGAUGGAGCAGAGAUGGGAGAAGGCAGGGAGCAGCUGGCAGCUGUGGUGGCUUGGCAGUGAUGGGCUGAACCUGACUCAUGGCCCUGUCAUCGCACUUGGUGGAGGACUGACCCACAGAGGAAAUUACACAGCAUUCUGCGGCCCAUGGUAGAGGCAGGGGCUUUUUUCAAGUGCAUCAGCUGGGAAGUAGCCUUCAUCCACGCCAGAAUCUUAGGCUUGGGGACCCUUACUAACUGCAGGUGGGGGAACGAGGGGACCUGUGCAAAUCUCUUCCAUAGCUCCCCAUUGGCUGCUGGGGCACCCAGAGCCCCAGCCAGUCUGUGACAGAGCUGCCUUACUCCCCAAACCAGCCUUCCACACACAUUUCCUCAGGCUGCACCUCCUGGUCCAGCCUUAGGCAUUCAUAGUCCCCAGGAGCUUUUGCUGAGGGACCCUCAGUCUGAAAGGACAAUGCCUCCAAUAAAACCAGGGCUACUCCCCUCAGGUGGCUGUGUAACUCUGGGCAAUUAAGUUAAACUCACUGAAUCUUCUUUUUUUCAUCUGUAAAAUGGGCCUAGAUUGUGUACCUCCUAAAUUAUGGUGAGGAUUAGAUGAGGAUCUAUGCAAAGGGCCUGGCACAAUGCCCAGCAUGCAGCAGGUGUUCAGAUACACAUUCCUUGUUCCAAGCCUGCUCUGCCUGAGGCAGAAUUUAAAUUGGCACCAACCCCCAGGUCUCAAGUCUCAGGGCUCUUUUGUCUCCCUCCCCCAUAUCCAGUCUCCCAACUCUUCAUGCAAAUGUGUGGCUGGAGGAAGAGGCGGAAGCCAGAUCAUCCUCAUGGAGGAGCUGGAGGGAUGGCUUAUCUUGAGAUGCCCACCCAAGGGGUGGACCACUGAGAAGGGUUCCUUCCCACCCACCCUCCUCUGGCCUAACCCGAUCUGACAGCCCAGGGCCAUCCUGCUCCCUGGAGUGGAGGGGACUUGCUACCUGCUCCCAAAGCUGGAGAAGGGUGACUGGAGGGCAGAAGGGAAGAAGUGACAGGCGGGACCCUGGGUCCUGCACUAGAGUUAGUCCUUGCAGCCACCCCUGGGAAAACCUUCAGCCCCAGGAGGACUCUGACUGGUUGGAAUAUUCCCCUGGAAUCCAGAGGGCAGGACUCUUUUGUUGAUUCUUCCAGCCCCUCUGUGCUGCUGUCUGGGACAAAAACUGCACUGCCAUCCCUUUCCAUGACAGGGGACCUGAGCUGGGAUUACCAUGUGCCAGUUACGGGGAGGCCUGCAGGGCUGAGCAGCUAAAGCCUUGCCUCUCUAGGAAUUACCAAAGGAAUACAUCAAGGAAGUAUGUAACUGGAGUUCUUGCUGUGAUAUGCAGUGGGUUCAGAAUCUGACUGCAGGGGCUCAGAGGUGCGGGUUCCAUCCCCUGCCUGGUGCAGCAGUUUAGCAGAUCCAUCGUUGCUGCAGGUGUGGCUCAGAUUCAGUCUCUGGCCUGGGAACUUCCAUAUACUGGGGUGCAGGCAAAAGAAAAAAGAAAAAGGAAAAAAGGAAGAAAGUGUUAGAAGAAGAUAUUGCUCAAGCCUCUCCUCCUCCUAACCCGCUAUCCACUGUCACCCUUAAGCUCCUGCCCCCUCCUGUAUUGCCCACUUUUCCUUCCACCUGGCGCCCCAUCCACCAGCACCCCCAGCUCUGGAGCACCUCCCCAGGGCUCCCUUUAGGGCUCCAAUUCACUCCUGGGCUCAAGGAUGUCUCAACCACUAGCCUUGAAGCUUCCCCAGCCCCAGGCCAGCUCUUGGACCUGGUCCUCUGAAGUUUGCACAAUGUCCAGCACAUAGUAGGUGCUUGGCAUUUGCAAAAAGUCCCUUGGUGAGGCCAAAUGCUGUUGUGUAUAUAUGUGCACACGUGGGUAAAGGAGCAAAUUCAUUGCUUCCUGCCUGGCCAGUACUAGACUCUGCUCUCAGGGUAUCUCAUGUAAUCAAAGUAAUUUGUGUAAUUGCUUCCAGGGUGGCUUUGCGUGCAGACAUUCCUCAGUGGAGGUGGGGGUGAAGGGAGCUCUAUUUCUAUUUUUAUCUACCCCAUUGAAGGUGCUCAGUUCACAGGGCCCCUUAUUGCCUCUGGCACUUUCCUCUACAUUCAGCUGCAACUGGAAGCUUUGUAAAAGGAGCUGGUUGCUCCAUAUCCAGUCACCUCACCUCCUCCCUCUGUGCCCUGUGGGCUCCAGGGUCUGUGUCCCCUUCUGGAAGACCCUCCUUUUUAGCCCCGCCCCCCAGGCCAAUGCUGGGCUGGAUGGUGCCGAACCCCUGCUUCCUCCUGCAACCUGGGAGCCUAGAUGGGAUGGGACAUCUCUCUUCAUCCUCCAUCCUCAGCAGUUCAAGUGUUCUCUCAGGCUAAUGUCCCCCUCCCUGCAGCAGCUUGGCUUUGAGGGCAGACCAGGAUUCCACAGGGCUAAGGAGCUCCCCUGGGACCCUUGCAAACCCAUUGAGUUUGCUUUAUUUCCAUCCUCCACUCAAGUGCAGUAUGGCUUUGGAGACACGAGAUUCAGGAUGUUGGAGUUCCCGUUGUGGCUCAGUGGGUUAAGAACUCAACACAGUGCCUGUGAGGAUGCAGAUUUGAUCUCUGGCCUCGCUCAGGGUUAAGGAUCUGGCAUUGCUACAAGCUGUAGCCUAGGUUGUAGAUGUGGCUCGGAACUGGUGUUGCCCUGCCUGCGGUGUAGGCCUACGGCUGCAGCUGUGAUUUAACCUCUAGCUCAGGAACUUCCAUAUGCUGCAGAUGUGCAUGUAUAAAAAAAAACCCAAGAUUCAGAAUGUUACAUCCAGGAAAAAAUCAUGGUUAUUCUACAUCCAGGCUGGAGGAGGCAAGGCUCAGAGAGAUAGUUCUAGGGACAUCUCUCCCCAGGGAGUGAAAACCAGGAGACUCAUGACCCCUUUACUGGCUGGCUUGCUGGGUGUUGAGGAAGCCUGGAAGCUGAGUCCACUGGGGUGGGAAACCAAGACUGUCCACCGCCUCUGGGCUGGCCCUCGAUUAUAGGCAAUACUGAGGUAACACGACCAUUUUAGUGUCCCAGGCACCAUUCAAAUGCUUUCCAGCGAUGCACCCAUUUAAUUCUCACAAAACCUUAAAAGGCAAUAUGAUUAUUCCCAUUUUACUGAUAAAAGGACAGAGGCACAGAGAGGUUAAGAAACAUGUCCAAGGUUACACAGCUAGGGAGUGUCUAAUAAAUGCUACUUUCCUUCAAUUCUUUUUAGGCUAUUGACUCCCGUGGGCAGAAAAUGAGACUGGUCCCUAAAGCUCUGCUCUGAACAUGAGAUCAAGUGUCCCUAAUCUGUUUCCUCAUUCCUCUGCUUAUAAACGUGCACUUUUGCUUGGCAGGUACAAUUGUAGGUAGUUUAUAGGAUUUUGUAAAAGCAAAAUUCCUUUUAACAUUUUAGGUUGUUGAGAUAAGAGUAUGCUUGUUUUCAUUUUUCAGUAAUUUGCAGCCAUUGGUGCUUUCCUUCAGCUGGGACUCUGCAUAAGAAUGGCCCAGAAAAGGGACAAUGACUGAGCAGCAGUCUUCUUGGGUGGAAUGUAUGAUCCAGGGCUUUUCUGGAAAGUGAGCCGAGCCUGCUCCAGCUUGCCAGGGAUGGUUAUUAUUAUUAUUUUUUAAUGGCCACACCUGGAGCAUAUGGAAGUUCCCAGGCCAGAGAUUGAAUCUGAGCUGCAGCCACAACCUAGGCCAAUGGAGGGAUCCUUUAACGCACUACACCCAGGAGGGGAUCUAAUGAGUGCCUCAGCAGCUGCUGCAAUCAGGUGCUUAAUCUGCUGCACUGCAGUGGGAACUCCUGGAGCCAGUUCUUUUUUUAAUGGUUAUCUCUAAACUGCAAAGACAAAACAAACUGCUUAAACAUUAGCUAGCAGUGCCUUUGUCCCUCCUGCUCACCUCUCCAGCCCCCUCUUCUCCACUCCAAGGUCCAGUCUAGGCUCAGCCUAGGGGGACGGUGGAAAUGAGCGGUGGGAGAGCGCGAGGCCUCCCUGAAAGCUCUCUAGGCUCAGGUCCCCUCUACGCCGCCCUCCCACGCCCGCUAGGCUUCAGGGGUCACUGAGGCUGCUGUGGCACCCGGGCCCAGCCCCUCGCUUUAUUAAAGUCUCUCUAAAUUGCCCACUUUGCAGGGGACAGCUGGUUUCUGCCUCUUACACCACUGAUGUGCACAAGGGAUAUUUCAGACCCUCUCCUCUUAUCCAGGUCUCACUCCCACAGCAUCCAGUCAAAAUGACCUCCACCUGGGCCUCCCUCCAUUCGAAGGGGUCCAGCGCCCGGGAGAUCCCAGCUCAUUGUAUUUAAAGGAACUGAUGGGCCUCGAGUCUGGAAGCCUGAAUACAUCCGGGGAGGAGGUCCCGCGGGAAACUGACAGAUGAAUAUUCCAAGCCCAGGCCUUCCAAAGUGUUCGAGAGGCACCCAGCUAGGUCCGCUGUCCCCGGGGUCUGACUGAGACGUCCUCUUUGUCAGCGCCUCUGCUACAGGCAGCAGCGCGCCCAAGACCUUCGGGAGUUCCUGGCUGAGAAUUAACCCCACCUCCUCCCACCAGCUCCACCAAUAGGAGGGCAGGGGUGACACCUCCCCUGCAUCAGCCACCAAUGAGCAGCCCGGAUCCUGUGCCCGGCCUUAAAAACGCCGGGAGGUGGGGCACCUUCAGGAGAUGCUGUCCUUUUUGUCCUGCCUUGCUCCUGGGAUGCUGACCGCCGGCCUGUCAGCUUUCGGAGAAACAGGAAACGCUCGCAGGCUGGUCCACCCUUGGCACUCUUGGUUAUUUCCAGGUCCAGAAAGCAAUGUAAAACUCAUCCUGUUACGGUAAUAUGAGUCAGCUGAAUCCUGUUGGGGCUUCUUCCCCAGGUGCACACAUGUACGGUUGGGGGAUGGGGCAGGGAUUGGCGAGCAAAGGAUCCUAGACUCUGCAAGCGGGAGGUUGGUGAGCUUCUGACCGACUCCCUCGAUCAUCCUAAUUUCACAGACAAGGAAGGGGCGCGGUUUGCAAUCUCACCCCUGGCAGCACUAUUGCAUCCAACCCUGCUCUCUAAUGGCAGUGAGCUAUUUUCUAAGAAGUUUUUCUAACCCCCUGACCAAAGGCCUAGAAGCUCAGGUCAAAGACGCUUUGUUAAAAACUGGUUGUUCAGAACCUGAGGAGGGAUGAUCCUGGCAUAUUGAUGAAAGUGCCGCCUCCAAAAGCCCUUUCUGAUGAGUCCUAUUGGAGUGUUUGUUCCCUUUUCUGAAAUCCUGUUUCUAGGGAUCCCCCAAAGUAGCCUGUAAACGUUAUCAUUCACCUAUAUCAAUCCACAUUUCCUGUGUAAUGUCACUGCUCUUCUUGUGCACAGUACACAGAUGCCAGGCACCUUUUCCAUUCCCCCUCCUACCCAACCUGAGGGUGUGUGUUGAACUUGGAUGGAUAGUCAUCCUAGGACAGAAGCCCAGAAGUCCAAGGACUGGGAUUGAAGAAGGUCUGAGUGCUGAUGCCGCGGCCAUCCAAGCUGGGACAAAGCUUUCCGCAGCCCAGUCAGGGAUGGGGGUGGGGGAGGGAUGGGGGGAGUGGUGCCAGAUGGGACUGUUUUCUGAGGCAGGGCAGAUAAGACUUCUUUUUUCCCCACUACCCUGCAACUACUACUAAUGGUGGUAUUAUUAAGAGCUUACCAUGGAGCAUGUGUUUUAAUUACUUCUCUCAACCCUAA